AGUCAUCAACCCAGACCGUUUUUCUAACGGCCGGGGUUGGAGCUGGGGGACUUUGCCGAUCGCCUCGAUCGGCUCCCCUCAAAUGCGUCGGUUGGGCCUGCGGGUCGAACGUUUGGGCGUUGUACCAUCCUCGCUCUACAUAGACCUGCUGAACUGUGCCCCUCCUCGACCUUGCCCGACUGGUUUCGGGUGGUCAAUGCAAACUUUGAA
rnacentral:misc_RNA from 1 species